AAGAUUCUGCAAAAGAACAAGACAUUUUAGGGAUGACUAUUCAUAUUACUGCAUUUUAAGCAAAGAAGUAUCAUUGUAUUUUAUCAGCCAAGAUGUACACUUGCAAGCCAUAGCUGAAGAGAGGAAAAUGUAUUUGCAGAUAAUAGCCAAGACCUCACAAGCACCUAAUAUAUGGAGGAAAUUAUAUUGUCCUCAUCAUUAGUGAUGGCAUCAACUUUUACAAGAAAAGUAUUGGUCUUGACAGGUGGGAUUUCUUCCUCAGUUGUUGAAGAAACUAUACACAAGCUAUUGGGAAAUUUCUGAACCGAAGAAGCACCAGAUUGU